UACGUAGGGUGCAGGCGUUAAUCGGAAUUACUGGGCGUAAAGCGUGCGUAGGCGGUUUGUUAAGACAGGUGUGAAAUCCCCGGGCUUAACCUGGGAACUGCGCUUGUUACUGGCAGACUGGAGUGUGGCAGAGGGGGGGUGGAAUUCCAGGUGUAGCAGUGAAAUGCGUAGAUAUCUGGAGGAACACCGAUGGCGAAGGCAGCCCCCCUGGGCUAACACUGACGCUGAUGCACGAAAGCGUGGGGGAGCAAACAGG
rnacentral:rRNA from 1 species